GGGUCGGGGAGAGAGGGUCAGCACUCCCCUCGCAGGGCGGGAGCACGCCCUUGGGCCUGACAGCACACAGUUCGGGCAUCGCCCACCCACCCACUCGGUGGCACGGAACCGUGGUUUUUAU